rnacentral:rRNA from 1 species
UGGGGAAUAUUGCACAAUGGGCGAAAGCCUGAUGCAGCGACGCCGCGUGAGGGAUGACGGCCUUCGGGUUGUAAACCUCUUUCAGCAGGGAAGAAGCGAAAGUGACGGUACCUGCAGAAGAAGCGCCGGCUAACUACGUGCCAGCAGCCGCGGUAAUACGUAGGGCGCAAGCGUUGUCCGGAAUUAUUGGGCGUAAAGAGCUCGUAGGCGGUUAGUCGCGUCUGCUGUGAAAACUCGAGGCUCAACCUCGGGCUUGCAGUGGGUACGGGCUGACUAGAGUGCGGUAGGGGUGACUGGAAUUCCUGGUGUAGCGGUGGAAUGCGCAGAUAUCAGGAGGAACACCGAUGGCGAAGGCAGGUCACUGGGCCGCAACUGACGCUGAGGAGCGAAAGCAUGGGGAGCGAACAGGAUUAGAUACCCUGGUAGUCCAUGCCGUAAACGUUGGGCACUAGGUGUGGGUCCAUUCCACGGAUUCCGUGCCGCAGCAAACGCAUUAAGUGCCCCGCCUGGGGAGUACGGCCGCAAGGCU